UACGUAGGGUGCAAGCGUUGUCCGGAAUUAUUGGGCGUAAAGAGCUCGUAGGCGGUCUGUCGCGUCGGCUGUGAAAACUCGGGGCUCAACCCCGAGCCUGCAGUCGAUACGGGCAGACUAGAGUGCUGUAGGGGAGACUGGAAUUCCUGGUGUAGCGGUGAAAUGCGCAGAUAUCAGGAGGAACACCGGUGGCGAAGGCGGGUCUCUGGACAGUUCCGUGACACUGAGGCACGAAGGCCAGGGGAGCAAACGGG
rnacentral:rRNA from 1 species